UAUAUAUAUAUAGGGCUGGGCUCUAUAAGAAACCCCAUCUUUUUUAAAAAACCUUGGAAACCCAACCUCAUCCAUUGAUUCUCUUUCAUCCAACUUGAUCAAUGGCUCUCAUCAUUUUAGUAACAAUUAUAAUUAAAAGAAAUAGUAUAAUGCACAUUUGAAAGUCUGGGAGGGCAUUUUCGGUAGAACAAAACCCACCUUUUGGCAUUGAAAAUGACAAAAUCCACUUGUGUCAUAAUCUCUCUCCUCUUUCUUCUAGUCAAAUCUUUCAAUUAACUAUUAUCUCUCUCCUCUUUCUUCAUCAUUGAAAAGAAGAAAGCUUCAUGGUCUUCAAUGGUGAUCCUUCAAUGGUGAUCUUCAUUUGAAGAUAAUUUCAGCGUCAUGUGGUCUGAAAAAAUCACAAAGACACACGCACGAGUGUGUGUGUGAGAAGAGCGAUGACAAGAUGAAUGUUUUUAGAGAGAGAAAGUUGAUGUUUUAGAUAGAGAAACAACAAUCUUUAUCACAAAGACACACGCACGAGUGUGUGUGUGAGAAGAAGGUUUGAAGAUCUUCUUCGUGUUCAUCGGACGGGUAUAGAUCCGGUAAGUGUUCUUGAAAUAUCAUUUCACACUUGAUUUUUUGUUGAAAUGGUUGUUAAUAUGUUUUUGUGUGCUGAAAGUGUUUUAGUAUUGGUUAAUGGGGUAUCCAUGGUUAAUGUUAAUGUAUUUUAAAUAAAUCAAAAACUUUAGGAUGAGAUUUUGAACGGGUUUUUUUGUUGGUUUAGUUGCUUGUUAGGGGCUUUUGAUCUUAACAGUAGCUGUUUUUUUGUUGGUUUGAGUUGCUUGUUUGGGUUUUUGAUCUGAACAGUAAGUGUUUUUUUUGUUUGGUUACUUGAUUCACAGACUCAGGCCCAUAACACGUGUUAAGCCCCCCUGUUAUAAUGUUAUAUAACGUGUGUUGAUUUACAGAAACAAACCCAUAAAGAUAUUCAAUUAAGAAGCUGGAUGGAUGUAGGAGAAGUUAAUGUGUGUUCUAGUAAUGGUUAAUGUUAAUUAUUUUGUUUUGUUGGGUUGCUUGAUUUACAGAGACAGACCUGUAACAUGUGUUAAGCACCUGUUAGAAUGAUAUAUAACGUGUGUUGAUUUACAGAAACAGAUCCAUAAAAGAUAUUCAAUUGACAAGCUGGAUGGAUGUAGGCGACGUUAAUGCGGGGACAUUGAAUAAGUCACAUCCUUUGGGAAAGAAGUCUUAGUUCAUUUAUAACAUGUGUUAGUGUUUCAUGCUGUAACAGAACACCAUGAUGUAAACCUGACAUGUGUUCAUGUAUAACAUGUGUUAAGCCCCUGU
rnacentral:lncRNA from 1 species